UUUACUUAACAAACCCAGUGUAUAAACUUAGAAUUUAUAAAAGUAAUUUUAAAAAAUUACAAGUAAU
rnacentral:tRNA from 1 species